AGCGAACGCUGGCGGCAGGCCUAACACAUGCAAGUCGAACGAACCUUUCGGGGUUAGUGGCGGACGGGUGAGUAACACGUGGGAACGUGCCUUUAGGUUCGGAAUAACUCAGGGAAACUUGUGCUAAUACCGAAUGUGCCCUUCGGGGGAAAGAUUUAUCGCCUUUAGAGCGGCCCGCGUCUGAUUAGCUAGGUGGUUGAGGUAAUGGCUCACCAAGGCGACGAUCAGUAGCUGGUCUGAGAGGAUGAUCAGCCACAUUGGGACUGAGACACGGCCCAAACUCCUACGGGAGGCAGCAGUGGGGAAUCUUGCGCAAUGGGCGAAAGCCUGACGCAGCCAUGCCGCGUGAAUGAUGAAGGUCUUAGGAUUGUAAAAUUCUUUAACCGGGGACGAUAAUGACGGUACCCGGAGAAGAAGCCCCGGCUAACUUCGUG
rnacentral:rRNA from 1 species